rnacentral:rRNA from 1 species
UAAAGAAUUUCGGUUAUCGAUGGGGAUGCGUUCCAUUAGUUAGUUGGCGGGGUAACGGCCCACCAAGACGACGAUGGAUAGGGGUUCUGAGAGGAAGGUCCCCCACAUUGGAACUGAGACACGGUCCAAACUCCUACGGGAGGCAGCAGUGAGGAAUAUUGGUCAAUGGACGAGAGUCUGAACCAGCCAAGUAGCGUGAAGGAUGACUGCCCUAUGGGUUGUAAACUUCUUUUAUAUGGGAAUAAAACAGGGUAUGCAUACCCUCUUGUAUGUACCAUAUGAAUAAGGAUCGGCUAACUCCGUGCCAGCAGCCGCGGUAAUACGGAGGAUCCGAGCGUUAUCCGGAUUUAUUGGGUUUAAAGGGAGCGUAGGUGGAUUGUUAAGUCAGUUGUGAAAGUUUGCGGCUCAACCGUAAAAUUGCAGUUGAAACUGGCAGUCUUGAGUACAGUAGAGGUGGGCGGAAUUCGUGGUGUAGCGGUGAAAUGCUUAGAUAUCACGAAGAACUCCGAUUGCGAAGGCAGCUCACUGGACUGCAACUGACACUGAUGCUCGAAAGUGUGGGUAUCAAACAGGAUUAGAUACCCUGGUAGUCCACACAGUAAACGAUGAAUACUCGCUG